rnacentral:rRNA from 1 species
CUACGUAGGUGACAAGCGUUAUACGGAUUUACUGGGCGUAAAGGGCGUGUAGGCGGUCUCGCAAGUCAGAAGUGAAAUUCCUGAGCUCAACUCGGGCGCUGCUUCUGAAACUGCAGGACUUGAGUGCUGGAGGGGAUAGCGGAAUUCCUAGUGGAGCGGUAAAAUGCGCAGAUAUUAGGAAGAACACCGGUGGCGAAGGCGGCUAUCUGGACAGUAACUGACGCUGAGGCGCGAAAGCGUGGGGAGCAAACAGGAUUAGAUACCCUGGUAGUCCACGCUGUAAACGAUGAUUACUAGGUGUGGGGGGACUGACCCCUUCCGUGCCGCAGUUAACACAAUAAGUAAUCCACCUGGGGAGUACGGCCGCAAGGUGGAAACUCAAAGGAAUUGACGGGG